GACAGAGGGGGCAAGCGUUGCUCGGAAUCACUGGGCGUAAAGGGCGCGUAGGCGGGAAGCCAAGUCGGUCGUGAAAUCUCCGGGCUCAACCCGGAGGAGUCGGCCGAAACUGGUUUUCUUGAGGGAGGCAGAGGAGUCUGGAAUUCCCGGUGUAGCGGUGAAAUGUGUAGAGAUCGGGAGGAACACCGGUGGCGAAGGCGGGACUCUGGGCCUACCCUGACGCGUGAGGCGCGAAGGCGUGGGGAGCAAACGGG
rnacentral:rRNA from 1 species